AAGUGCCUGUCUGGUACGUGAUUUGGGAGAGAAGUAAAACCGACACGUUUUUUGAAAGGGAGUCGCUGUUGGGCUCUGGUGAGCAGGCCCUUCGAGAGGGAAGCCUAAAGGAGUUCAUUUGACGCCCACCUAGCUUGGGGGUUUUACUUAGCGCCAAACACGGCUACGACGGGUUUUUU
rnacentral:other from 1 species